rnacentral:misc_RNA from 1 species
GAAUGGGAACCCGGAGGCCUUGUUUAGGCAAGGAGUGGUAUGCAAUUAUACAUUUUUCUUUACCUAUUAAAAUAUCAGCUUUGCUAAGUUCAUUUAUUGGCAUGGAAUAAAUUUCAGGUGGAAUGCUUCAGUCAAAUCAAAUUGGAAUCAGGGCUAAGGUGUCUGAAGAGAGCUGCAAGCUCAGGACAUCAUAAAGCUUCAUACAUUCUUGGUGUUAUUCUACUGUGCAGCGAAAACAAGUACGAACCAGAAGGCAUGAAAUUGAUUGAGGAGGUUAAAAGGAACAAGAAAAUACGAGAAUGUCGCCAGAAGUUGAAAGAUAUUAUAUGGAACAUCUGGUUGAAAAAUAAAUUUAUUUUAGAAGCAAAACCUAACGGUUGUCCCCUGUCACAUCUGCACAGGAAAAGGGAUGGCUGGCCUAGCUUUAAUGUGGAUGAUGAUGAUGAUAUCAGCUGCCGAGAAUGUAGUUGUCAUCGUGAGGUUAUUUUCGUUUGUAACCUCCUGAAAGGUGUUUAGCUUAGUUAGUUUUUUUUUUUUUUCUUUUUGUAGCCUCCUCAAAGGUGUUUAGCUUUUUUUUUUUUUUUUUUU